UACGUAGGGGGCAAGCGUUGGUCCGGAUUUAUUGGGCGUAAAGAGCGUGUAGGCGGUUUGUCGCGUUGUUCGUGAAAACUCACAGCUUAACUGUGGGCGUGCGGGCGGAUACGGGCAGACUGGAGUACUGCAGGGGAGACUGGAAUUCCUGGUGUAGCGGUGGAAUGCGCAGAGAUCAUGAGGAAGACCAGUGGCGAAGGCGGGUCUCUGGACAGUUCCUGACACUGAGACACGAAGGCCAGGGGAGCAAACGGGG
rnacentral:rRNA from 1 species